rnacentral:rRNA from 1 species
UACGUAGGGGGCAAGCGUUGUUCGGAAUUACUGGGCGUAAAGCGCGCGCAGGCGGCCUUUUAAGUCUGACGGUGAAAUGCCGGGGCUCAACCCCGUGCCCGCCGGAGAUACUGGGAGGCUGGAGACAUGUAGAGGCAAGCGGAAUUCCGGGUGUAGCGGUGGAAUGCGUAGAGAUCCGGAAGAACACCGGUGGCGAAGGCGGCGACCUGGGUAGAUACUGACGCUGAGGUGCGAAAGCGUGGGGAGCAAACAGG